CAAUCGGCCCUUUUCAGGGCCAACAAAACAUUCAAGCGUACAAAC
rfam:Trichomalopsis sarcophagae strain Alberta scaffold2259, whole genome shotgun sequence.